rnacentral:tRNA from 1 species
GGGGAUGUAGCUCAGCUGGUAGAGCGCGGCAAUCGCACUGCCGAGGUCAGGGGUUCGAGCCCCCUCAUCUCCAC